ACCUAAAUAAUUUAAUUAAAAUAUCAGCUUGUGGGUCUGAAUUUGUAUUUUUAUACUUUAGGUU
rnacentral:tRNA from 1 species